UACUCGGUGGGCCGCGCCGACUAGCUCAUCGGAACUAUUCACGGGUGUGGUUCCAACCCUGGCCCGCAGUUCGCACAAUCGAUAAAUCAUCGCUAAACUGCCGCUGCAGCUCAAUUACCAUCGCUAUCGACAAAAAGAAAACAAACAACGCAAAAAGGAACGACGGCGACGAAAAACUGCAACAAUAAAUACAACAGGGACCAUUUGCUGGACCCGGGCGUACCCUCCCUUCCUGAGACGGCAUGCAUUCCUCGUCUCCCAUAUGUUGGCCACCCGAACGGGCCAAUCUCAGCCUGCGUUGGACAUCUCGCUUCCCCUCCCCUUGCACAAAAAAA